CGCAUCUGUGCAUGCAGCAUAUCAAUAAGCGGAGGAAAAGUAACUAACAAGGAUUCCCUCAGUAACGGCGAGUGAAGCGGGAAGAGCUCAAAUUUGAAAUCUUGAAAGGUCACCUUUCACGAAUUGUAGUUUAAAGAAGUGUUUUCUGUUACGAUCGUAAUAUAAGUUCUUUGGAAUAGGACAUCACAGAGGGUGAGAAUCCCGUCUAUGAUUGCGAUUUGUAGCUUUGUGAUACACUUUCAAAGAGUCGGGUUGUUUGGGAAUGCAGCCCAAAACGGGAGGUAAAUUUCUUCUAAGGCUAAAUAUUGGCGAGAGACCGAUAGCGAACAAGUACCGUGAGGGAAAGAUGAAAAGAACUUUGAAAAGAGAGUUAAAUAGUACGUGAAAUUGUCAAAAGGGAAGCGUUUAACACCAGUGUUGUUUUCUGAAAAUCAACCUCUGUUAGCUUUAUGCAUGUUUGUUUAGACCUAAUCAGCUAUCUUGCAUGUUCUAUUGUUUGCAGUGGUGCACUUUUCAGUUUACAGGUCAACAUCAGUUUUUUUUACCGUAAAAAAGUUAAAGAAAGGUAGCUCAUGGCUCCGGUCGUGAGUGUUAUAGUCUUUUUCCUAUGCGGUAGGAGAGACUGAGGUCUGCAGUGUAGGCUAUUUGGCUAGAUACUCAGGUGCUAUGUGAUACCAUCUCAUAAACAACUUGUUGAUUAUGUUUUGUCUAUUGCAUACUCGCUUGUACUAUCAUACCUACGCUUAGGAUGUUGACGAUCAGCUGAGCGCG
rnacentral:rRNA from 1 species